UAGGGAAUCUUCGGCAAUGGGGGGAACCCUGACCGAGCAACGCCGCGUGAGGGAAGAAGGCUUUCGGAUCGUAAAGCUCUGUUGUUAAGGAAGAACGAGUGUGAGAAUGGAAAGUUCAUGCUGUGACGGUACUUAACCAGAAAGGGACGGCUAACUACGUGCCAGCAGCCGCGGUAAUACGUAGGUCCCGAGCGUUGUCCGGAUUUAUUGGGCGUAAAGCGAGCGCAGGCGGUUAGAAAAGUCUGAAGUGAAAGGCAGUGGCUCAACCAUUGUAGGCUUUGGAAACUGUUUAACUUGAGUGCAGAAGGGGAGAGUGGAAUUCCAUGUGUAGCGGUGAAAUGCGUAGAUAUAUGGAGGAACACCGGUGGCGAAAGCGGCUCUCUGGUCUGUAACUGACGCUGAGGCUCGAAAGCGUGGGGAGCGAACAGG
rnacentral:rRNA from 1 species